UACGGGGGGGGCAAGCGUUGUUCGGAAUUACUGGGCGUAAAGGGCGCGUAGGCGGCCUUGUAAGUCAGCCGUGAAAUUUCCGGGCUUAACCUGGAAGGGUCGGAUGAUACUGCGAGGCUAGAGUGUGGAAGAGGCAACUGGAAUUCCGUGUGUAGCGGUGAAAUGCGUAGAUAUACGGAGGAACACCUGAGGCGAAGGCGGGUUGCUGGGCCAACACUGACGCUGAGGCGCGAAAGCCAGGGUAGCAAACGGG
rnacentral:rRNA from 1 species